AAAGAGUCCGCGCGCCGCGCACCGCGCCUGGGCCUCGCGUCCCUCCCACGCGGGGACCCUGGCUUUGUGUCCUCUCUCUGCAACGGACUCCGCCCUCCCUGCUCCCGCCAGGUGAGCGAGCCGCGUGCGCGCGCGGGGGCUCCCGCACCUCCCUUCCCCAAGUUUCCCCCUUCUGCUCCAGCCUCAGUUUCCCCGAGCCUUCUGACCAGGAGCCAGGGCUAGCCCUUAUCUCCCCACCUGGAGACUCCAUCUGCGCACCAACUAGUCUCCAGCCUGCCUUUGUCCCCCUGCAACCUCGGCCUACAGCGCCAGCGUCACCAUGAUUGCUAAGAAGGAGAAGAAUAAAACGCCGAAGGACAGCAUGACGCUCCUACCUUGCUUUUAUUUCGUGGAGCUACCCAUCGUGGCUUCCUCUGUUGUGUCUCUGUACUUCCUGGAGCUGACUGACCUGUUCCAGCCGGCUAAGGUGGGCUUUCAGUGCCACGACCGCUCCCUGUCCAUGCCCUACGUGGAGACAAACGAAGAACUGAUUCCACUGCUCAUGUUGCUGAGCCUGGCCUUUGCUGCACCCGCGGCCUCCAUCAUGGUCGGCGAGGGCAUGGUCUACUGUCUGCAGUCCAGGCUCUGGGGCCGAGGUCCAGGGGGUGUAGAGGGCAGCAUCAAUGCUGGUGGCUGCAACUUCAACUCCUUCCUCCGGCGCACAGUGCGCUUUGUGGGUGAGUGGCUGUAGGGCUCCCUGAUCCUGCCUUGAAGCCCAUUCAUGGGAGGGGGGUCAUGGUGCAGACAGGCUUGUGGGGGGAACACCUCUCCCCCCUGCUCCCUUCCCCUGGCCUGGCCCUCUCGUCCUCAGGUGUACACGUGUUUGGCCUGUGUGCCACGGCUCUGGUGACAGAUGUCAUCCAGCUGGCCACCGGCUACCACACACCUUUCUUCCUAACCGUCUGCAAACCCAAUUACACCCUGCUGGGCACUUCCUGUGAGGCGAACCCUUACAUCACACAGGACAUCUGCUCUGGCCAUGAUACUCAUGCCAUCCUGUCAGCACGGAAGACCUUCCCAUCCCAGCACGCCACUCUGUCCGCCUUCGCUGCUGUCUACGUUUCGAUGUACUUCAACUCCGUUAUCUCGGACGCCACAAAGCUGCUGAAACCCAUCCUUGUGUUCGCCUUCGCCAUCGCCGCUGGCGUCUGUGGCCUCACACAGAUCACCCAGUACCGCAGUCACCCUGUGGACGUCUACGCCGGCUU
rnacentral:lncRNA from 1 species